rnacentral:rRNA from 1 species
AACGAACGCUGGCGGCAUGCCUAACACAUGCAAGUCGAACGAGACCUUCGGGUCUAGUGGCGCACGGGUGCGUAACGCGUGGUAACCUGCCCUUAGGUUCGGAAUAACUCCCCGAAAGGGGUGCUAAUACCGGAUAAUGUCUUCGGACCAAAGAUUUAUCGCCUUUGGAUGGGCCCGCGUUGGAUUAGCUAGUUGGUAGGGUAAAAGCCUACCAAGGCGACGAUCCAUAGCUGGUCUGAGAGGAUGAUCAGCCACACUGGGACUGAGACACGGCCCAGACUCCUACGGGAGGCAGCAGUAGGGAAUAUUAGAACAUGGGCGAAAGCCUGAUCCAGCAAUGCCGCGUGAGUGAUGAAGGCCUUAGGGUUGUAAAGCUCUUUUACCCGGGAUGAUAAUGACAGUACCGGGAGAAUAAGCCCCGGCUAACUCCGUG